UACAGAGGUCUCAAGCGUUGUCCGGAAUCAUUGGGCGUAAAGAGCGCGUAGGCGGCCAGAUAAGUCCGGUGUGAAAGUCACAGGCUCAACCUGUGGAAUGCCGCUGGAAACUGUCUGGCUAGAGUCCGGAAGAGGAGAGUGGAAUUCCUGGUGUAGCGGUGAAAUGCGCAGAUAUCAGGAAGAACACCCGUGGCGAAGGCGGCUCUCUGGGACGGUACUGACGCUGAGGAGCGAAAGCGUGGGGAGCGAACAGG
rnacentral:rRNA from 1 species